rnacentral:rRNA from 1 species
UACGAAGGGUGCAAACGUUGCUCGGAAUUAUUGGGCGUAAAGCGCACGUAGGCGGCUUGGCAAGUCGGAUGUGAAAUCCCUCGGCUCAACCAAGGAAGUGCAUCCGAAACUGCUGAGCUUGAGUACUUAAGAGGAUCGCGGAAUUCCCGGUGUAGAGGUGAAAUUCGUAGAUAUCAAGCGGAACACCGGUGGCGAAGGCGGCCUUCUGGACAGUGACUGACGCUGAGACGCGAAAGCGUGGGGAGCAAACAGG